GUAUUUACGUGUGCGCACCGUGUUCCCGAAUGUUUCUCUCUCUCGAAAGCGAAAAAUUCCCGUGGAACGACUGUCACGCGACAAGAGUGGCGAGGGCACUAAAAACCCUUUACUGCGUGUACACGUCGGAAACCCGACAGCGUUUUACGGCGAAAACGGAACACGCCGUUGCUCUCUCGGACCUUUUGUGGAACGGUGCUGCCGCGACCGAGGAAAUGAGCGAAAGAUCUUCCGGCGUUGAAUAGCCGGGCCGAAAAGGAAGCGAGGAACGACGUCGUCGAGCCACCGUCGACGAUCGAACAAAUAAUGACGGCCACGAGGAGGAACAUGAAUGACGCGUCCGGAAGACAUUUUCAUUCCAACAUGGCCGGGGUGAUACCGCUGAUACGUUGGAAUUGAAAUGGCUCCCUGAACUUAAUAGCUUUCGGGCAUAAAGAGAAAGAAGACCAGCAUAGGGUAAAAGGCGUCCGAUUGCCGAGAUUGUCAGGCGUACCGAGGCUUUCGUUUAUUCCGACGAUAAUCGCGACGAUGCGACGAAGAAUUGUAAACAACGAAAUUUUAAUGCAACAUUUGAUAUCACAUUUACCCACGGCGGAUCAUUUUCGUAACUGGACUACUUACGAUGUUUAUAACAAUUCUGUGCACUAUUCGGCAAUUUUUCGAAACAAUA